AUUGUGAUGUGAUGACAACUUCUUGAGCUAUAUAUUUUCUUUGAGAACAUCAAUGAAGAAAACGUCUCAUCAAAUGAUUUGCACGUCAGUCUGAUCACAAG
rnacentral:snoRNA from 1 species